ACCGGCUGCCUCGGUGGCAC
rnacentral:miRNA from 1 species